GGGGAAGCCAGCUGCCAUGUCCUGAAGAUACUAAGGCAACCGUGUGCAGAGGAACUAAAAUACCGAGUUCAACAACAGAUCACAGGUUGCGAGAGGUCUUAAAUCCAUACUCUUCCAGUGACUAGAGCAAAUGCAGCCCUAGGUCUGGCAUCCUGAAUUUUUGUCUUAUUUUUUCAUUAGUACACGAGACUCUACUUUCAUCUUUUUAAAAGGUCUCUUGCUAUCCUUCAAGCAAAGCUAUCUCCAAAUCUGAAGAAGAGACCAAGAAAUAGAAAAAGUAGCACCUCUUGCCUGCUUCCCUGUCUAAUAUUUGAAAGAGUGUGACUCUAUUCAGAGAUCCAGGAGCCAUAAGAAGAAGGGGAUUUAUGGCCAAUUUAUGAGGACAUCUUGAGACAGGAGAACACGCACGAGCUACUUGUGCUGCUGCUGUGGCAUCUGCUGGAGUUGACCACCAAAGCACACAUCCUCUUAGUCUGGAGAAGAGAGGACCCCAGCUGGCGGGAACCAUGCCCAUUCCCUUCUAUGCCAUCAGCCUGAUCUGCACCUUGCCUGGAGUGGUGAGAAUUGGAGACCCUGAACCCCCUCUCAGACAAGAGAUGUCACUUUUCUCCCUGGCUCAGUCUUGAGAAAUACCAGAAAGCAUUAAAAUGUGCUUGAGUUUUUAUGUAUUCUCUACAAGUCUGUAAGGGUACACUCUUACAGAGAGAAUCUGCUUUUACUCCUAAAGUUGAGUUAAAGAGUUCUUGAGAGGUAGGUAGUCAAUG
rnacentral:lncRNA from 1 species